UACGAAGGGGGCUAGCGUUGCUCGGAAUGACUGGGCGUAAAGGGCGCGUAGGCGGAUUAUUCAGUCAGGCGUGAAAUUCCUGGGCUCAACCUGGGGACUGCGUUUGAGACGGGUAGUCUUGAGUUCGGAAGAGGGUCGUGGAAUUCCCAGUGUAGAGGUGAAAUCCGUAGAUAUUGGGAAGAACACCGGUGGCGAAGGCGGCGACCUGGUCCGAUACUGACGCUGAGGCGCGAAAGCGUGGGGGAGCAAACAGGGAUUAGAUACCCUGGUAGUCCACGCUGUAAACGAUGUGUGCUGGAUGUUGGGUGACCUAGUCACUCAGUGUCGUAGCUAACGCGAUAAGCACACCGCCUGGGGAGUACGGCCGCAAGGUUGAAACUC
rnacentral:rRNA from 1 species